rnacentral:ncRNA from 1 species
GGCCGAGUGUGGGCGAAUACAAUACCAGCAAUGGGAAUAAGCCCGCUUGCCGCUUGUACAAGUUUCUAGCACUCGGCCACCCGAGC